rnacentral:rRNA from 1 species
UACGGGGGGGGCAAGCGUUGUUCGGAAUUACUGGGCGUAAAGGGUCUGUAGGUGGCCAACUAAGUCAGACGUGAAAUCCCUCAGCUUAACUGGGGAACUGCGUCUGAUACUGGUUGGCUUGAGUGCAGGAGAGGAAUGCGGAAUUCCAGGUGUAGCGGUGAAAUGCGUAGAUAUCGAGAGGAACACCUGCGGCGAAGGCGGGUUGCUGGGCUGAUACUGACGCUGAGGCGCGAAAGCCAGGGGAGCGAACGGG